GACGAACGCUGGCGGCGUGCUUAACACAUGCAAGUCGAACGGAAAGGCCCUGCUUUUGUGGGGUGCUCGAGUGGCGAACGGGUGAGUAACACGUGAGUAACCUGCCCUUGACUUUGGGAUAACUUCAGGAAGCUGGGGCUAAUACCGGAUAGGAGCUCCUGCUGCAUGGUGGGGGUUGGAAAGUUUCGGCGGUUGGGGAUGGACUCGCGGCUUAUCAGCUUGUUGGUGGGGUAGUGGCUUACCAAGGCUUUGACGGGUAGCCGGCCUGAGGGGGUGACCGGCCACAUUGGGACUGAGAUACGGCCCAGACUCCUACGGGAGGCAGCAGUGGGGAAUAUUGCACAAUGGGCGGAAGCCUGAUGCAGCAACGCCGCGUGCGGGAUGACGGCCUUCGGGUUGUAAACCGCUUUCGCCUGUGACGAAGCGUGAGUGACGGUAAUGGGUAAAGAAGCACCGGCUAACUACGUG
rnacentral:rRNA from 1 species